GACGAACGCUGGCGGCGUGCCUAACACAUGCAAGUCGAACGAAGCUUGACUACGGACUCCUUCGGGACGAAGUAAGAUAUGACUGAGUGGCGGACGGGUGAGUAACGCGUGAGUAACCUGCCUUUCAGAGGGGAAUAACGUCUGGAAACGGACGCUAAUACCGCAUAAAGCAUGAGGGGCGCAUGUUUUUCAUGCCAAAGAUUUAUCGCUAACAGAUGGGCUCGCGUCCGAUUAGGUAGUUGGUGUGGUAACGGCACACCAAGCCGACGAUCGGUAGCCGGACUGAGAGGUUGAACGGCCACAUUGGAACUGAGAAACGGUCCAG
rnacentral:rRNA from 1 species